AAGAAAAUAGUUUAAUUGAAAACAUAAAGUUUGAAACUUUAGAAUGGGUGUUGUAUAAAAGCUCUUUUUUUG
rnacentral:tRNA from 1 species